rnacentral:tRNA from 1 species
GCCGAUGUGGCUCAGUGGCAGAGCAGCUGAUUCGUAAUCAGCAGGUCGGCGGUUCAAAUCCGCCCAUCGGCUCCA